rnacentral:rRNA from 1 species
AUGGUUGGCUGCAGAAGCUCUGCAUCCUUGUCGAUUGGUCAUCUGACCUCCCUUGUAUCAUUAAGACUACGAGAUCUCCAGGAUCUGUGUUCUCUUGAAGGACUUCCUUCCCUGCAACUUCACGACUUAGAGUUGAAAGAUGUCCCGAAGCUCAACGCCAAGUGCAUGUCACAGUUUCGGGUGCAGAAAGCACUUACUGUUAGCAGCCCUGUGAUACUCAACCACAUGCUCGGCGCUACAGGUUUUACAGUUCCAGAAUUUCUCUCCCUUCAAGGAUGCAAGGAGACAUCCCUUUCAUUCGAAGAAUCUGCAAAUUUCUCAUCCGUGCAGCACCUGAUAUUAUAUGAAUGUGAAAUGAGGUCCUUGCCAGGAAAUCUCAAGUGCCUGACCAGUCUGAUACGACUUGAUAUCGGCUACUGUCCCAACAUAUCAUUUUUACCUGAUCUGCCAUCCUCCCUCCAACGUAUAUCUGUUUGGUAUUGUGAGCACUUGAAGAAGAGUUGCCAAGCACCUGAUGGAGAAAGCUGGCCAAAGAUUGCGAGUAUCCGUUGCAAGGAAUUCAUAUGA